rnacentral:misc_RNA from 1 species
CUUCUUCUCUCUCUCUCUCUCCCUACCUAAGGAAUCGAAAACCUCUAAGCUUAGGGUUUCUCGAAUACCGCACUCUAAUUCUUCUCCGCUACCUUUGAAUCUCUGCUCAUAGCUUGUACCUUCUUCUUUGCCGCUAAAUGCUCCAUCUGUUAGUACCAUUUGUUUGGCUAGCCGUGAAGAAUCGAGCCCAAGUCUGUGGAAGAUAGAGUCUGUUGAUGGUUAGCUGAGAUAAGGUAAUUCAGUUUUUGAACACUUGAGGAUUAGUUAACUCUAACAUGGAGAAGAAUGUUGUGGUGGAGGAGAAUAAUCAAUGUAACAGUUCUAACCUUCUUUCCAAGUCUGUGGAGUCAUCCAUUAAGAUUGACUCAAUAUCUAUAGAUCUCAUCAAUGCCAAUCAGAAGACAGAUGCAGAAAACUGUCAACAUUUUUCAAUACGUGGAUAUGUAUCUGAAUUUCGCAAAAAAGACUGGAAGAUGUGUUGGCCAUUUGCUCCAGACGGUGACUGUAACAAGCAUGAUGAACAAGCAUGUGGGCUUCCUUCCUUACAUGUUCCAAAGUUUAGAUAUUGGCGUUGCCAUAACUGCCUGUCAGAUAUUGGUGCCAAAGGCAUUGGAAAUGAUUAUGGGACCAUCCUUACGUCUUGUACUGGUGGAUUAAAAUCAAAUAGCAUUUGUUCCCAUGCAUCGAUCCUUGAAAAUGUUGCAAUGCUACUAUCUGAUUUUCAGCAAUCUCCACAGCUACACAUUCUUGAGGAGAAAAAGGUUGAUGCUAAUGUUUCAGCUAAUCUGAAUAACGCCACUGAAUAUCAUCCUGUGCCAUGCAUUGAUAAAAAAGAAAAGAAAACUGAAGUUGCAAGUCCCACCGUAGGGCACAAUAUGGAGUCCGCUGGUAAUUUGAAUGAGGAAAUGCAUAGAUUGACUACAGAAAUUCCAAGCCUGAUGCAGAAAACAUAUCAUACAGAAGACAUAGUAAAUCUAAAAUCAAAGUGUAAUGGAUCUAUAGACCUAUUCAAGCCAGCCUGUGGACAUCAUGAAGUUGCUGACGCUGAAUUGACUGGAAGUCUCAAUUGCAUGGUUAAAAGUUCUUCUAAGAUUCAUGAAACUGGGAAAAUAAUUUCUCUGGAUGAUCAACACAAUGGGUUAACAGCUUGUGGAAAAUCAGAAGAAGCAGGUAAUAUUGACAAGGCAUGUAGUGCAGACAAAGGUCAAGCAAGUGGGCAUCCUUCCCUGAAAUUGGAUGAGUGUGAUUAUGCUUCAUCUGAGAGUGCUGAGAUCAUGGUUGGGAAUAAUCUUCAGGAUCUUCAUCAUGAUAAUUCAAGUGGGUUGCAUCGGAGAAAAACUAGAAAAGUGCGUCUGCUAACUGAAUUGUUAUGUGAAAAUGGUGAUGGAGACACAGAUAAUGUUAGGACUGAUGAUUCUUUAUCCACUGUCAUUCCUGAUGCAUUGACAGUAGGCGAUAAGCUCCGUGCUCCCCUAAGUCAGGUGGCUAUCUCAGGAAAUGUCAGAAGGGGUUUGGGUCAACAUAGGAAAAGGAAGUUGGAUCAGGAUGAAGACUGGAGACCCCUGGAAACGAGCUCUCCCAUUAAAGCAUGUAAAGAAGCUAGGAUCUUAAAGAGAGAUCUGGAAUCCACUGAUGCAAUUGAAAAGGCAUUUGCUAGAAUGCACUUACAAACUAGUAUGAAGAAUGGUUGCACCAAACGUAGAAUUGAUGGAAGUCCUAGUAUAGGUAAGAAGAAAAGCAAAAAAUCCCUGAUUUCAAAUGAAAGCUCAUCUUUAGCAAUUAUACAAGAAAAGGUGCCUAAUGGAAUUGGGAACAAAACUGGAGACAUAUCAAAUGGUAAUGCCGCUGAUGGAGUUUUGCUCAAAUCCAUGCAUAAUGAAGUUACAGACAGAGAGGCAGAUUUUUUCCCUUUGUCCACUCAAAGAAAUGAUAGGAAAUCAAGUUUUAAGAAGAAAAGUAAGAUGCCUCAAGUUGAUGAUCCACAGGCUUCCUUAAUUCCUUGGAAUCAUGGCAUGCUCAAAGAAGAUCUCAUAAGUAGAAAAGAUGCUGAGUUCUUGCAGACUGAGCCUUUAAGGCUUCCAUAUCAUUCAGCACAGGUUACAGCCAGUGAAAAAGGACUAAAUCUUUCUCUUAACAGCUACAUGACCAAGCAAAAGUAUGACAUGCGGCACAAUCUACAGGUUGAAGACAGGCGAAUGUCUUUGAUUACUCAGCAAGAGGGCACUGCAGAAGAUCAAGUAAACAGGAAUGCUGCAGAAACCACAUACGUUGGCAAUUUCAGUUUUGCUUCUAAGCCAAUAUUGGAUAUACCUUGUGGCAAGGGAGAAUAUAUCGGCAUGAGUAGCAAGAGAACUACCGGUAGAAUGCCCUUCCAUAACGAGAAGCAGAACUACACAUCUCAGUUUGAUAUCGGCAAUUGUUCUCACCUGCAGCAAAAGAAUUUUUAUGGUACAACCGGCAACAUGAAAACAAUUGGAAUUCAGGAAUGUUCAGUACUUGCAAGGAAAGACGGUGACCAGAGAGCUAAUAAGGUGUCUGAACAGGGAGCUUUAGAUGACAUUCCCAUGGAAAUUGUUGAACUCAUGGCAAAGCAUCAAUAUGAGAGGUGUCAACCUGAUGGUGAACAUGAUAGAUGCCAAUUAGAAAUGACUAAUAAUACUAAGAUUGGUCAGGCAAUGGAUUUUAGUAAAGCAUAUGGGAGUGGAGAGAUGAGCUUAUUUCAGCAGGAAACUUCUCAAAAACGAAAUCUUCCUGUUAAAAAUGGAAUAACCAAGAGGGGUGAAAAUCUGGGACCUGCCAAACAGAAGUCAGUUGAAUACUUUUCCCGGGCUGAUCUAAACCAAUUCAAUAUGAGCAAGCUGCAACAAACUCCUGCUCCUCCAGGGUUUAAGGCAUUUUUUCAGUGUCAAGAAAAGCCAUCAAGUGGAUUCCACCAUUCUGCUUCCAGUUCUGGCAGGCAAAAUAGUGCUCAAAAUUGCAAGUGGGUUGGGGAUGUGGUGGGGAAGAGGUCCUUUCAUAACUGUUUGCAGACCUCAGGAACAUGUAAUGCAUGCCAGGGCAUUCCCCAGCAGAGUAAAGAAACAAAUCAUCUUUGGUCCACCAUGAUGCCAAAUCACAUGCCUUUUGUGUACAACAUUCCUCAAAAGUGUGCUGCGCUAUCUCCCAAUUUAGAUGUCCUCUCGAAUUCUCCUUGCAGUAUGCCUAAGGAAAAUAGAAGCGGUGAUCAUGGUCUGAAGCUUCUAAAUCAGAAUGCUGCCAGCUUUGGAAGGCCAAAUAGAAAUGGUUCUGAGACUCUCAGGACAUGUUCAGAGUACCCAUUUCCUUGCAAACAUAAUGGGAUUGAGCUUAAUCAAAAGCCUAUGGGAUCUUUAGAUCUGUAUUCUAAUGAAACCAUACCAGCAAUGCAUUUGCUUAGCCUCAUGGAUGCAGGACUUCGGUCUCGUGCACCAAUAAAUCUGGAUGUAACCCCGAAGUUCCUGAAAAGGCCUUCCAUAACUCAUGAUCAAGAGCCUAUUGAGUUUUCUAGGCUGGAUUCUGGAGCCUAUCAAGCCACCAAUACCAUGAAGCACACAUCAUAUGAUUAUCAGGGUAAAAAUAAACUUGCAGAGGAUUCCCAUGGACGAAUUUCUGCCAUUCCAGCAGUUGUUGGUCCAUCUGCUUCUUCAUUUAAACAUGAUAAAUGUUUCA